rnacentral:lncRNA from 1 species
GUUUGACUGAGACUGCAAUGAUUAUGACGAUGAACAGCAGAACGGCCACAGCAGCAGAGAGGAGGCAGCACUUCAUCUUCCUGGCUCGUAGUUGGUGCUGACUUGCUUUUGCCAACUGCUCAUUGGCUGAUUCUACAUUAGAAGAUGCAGUCUCAAUGUUGGCUUCAAUACUAUCUAUUGUGUCUCCUUGUUCAUGUACCAUGGAGGCCAGGUCUUUAAUGAUCUGGUUCACAUCCAGCAUGUCACUCUCAAUCUGCUGAAUGGCCUCCUCCCGCUGACGGAUG